CCUACGGGCGGCAGCAGUCGAGAAUCAUUCACAAUGGGGGAAACCCUGAUGGUGCGACGCCGCGUGGGGGAAUGAAGGUCUUCGGAUUGUAAACCCCUGUCAUGUGGGAGCAAAUCAAAAAGAUAGUACCCCAAGAGGAAGAGACGGCUAACUAUGUGCCAGCAGCCGCGGUAAUACAGAGGACUCAAGCGUUGGUCGGAAUCAGUGGGCUUAAAGCGUGCGUAGGCGGUUUCGUAAGUCGUGGGUGAAAGGCGCGGGCUCAACCCGCGGACGGCACAUGAUACUGCGAGACUAGAGUAAUGGAGGGGGAACCGGAAUUCUCGGUGUAGCAGUGAAAUGCUUAGAUAGCGAGCGGAACACUCGUGGCGAAGGCGGGUUCCUAGACAUUAACUGACGCUGAGGCACGAAGGCCAGGGGAGCGAAAGGGAUUAGAUACCCGGGUAGUC
rnacentral:rRNA from 1 species